UGUUGCCUUGUUGCUCAAAGGGUUGAAGACAAUAGGAGAAGGGGAUUUCUUGCUGCUGCUUAAAGGGUUAGAGAUGUGUUUUAUAUUUUUGAAGUGGAGAUCGCUAUAAAAGCCUUGUUGUAAAAACCUUGAUCAUUAUAGUGGAUUUGCUUCCUAGGAUUGGAAGGACACUGGAUGUAGGCAAUUGGCCGACCCAGUAUAAAAACCUACGUUUGAUUUCUCUAUCCCUACACUUUUACUUUCAAAGUCGACUUUAAUUUUUACAUAGUCAACUAUACCCCGCUGCAUUUGAAAAAUUUAAUUCCUUGCGUUUCAAGAAAGUUUUGAAAGAUCAUCCUUUUGCGAAAAAGAUUUUUAAAAGACUCUGAUUUUAAAUUUCACCAAUUCAACCC
rnacentral:lncRNA from 1 species